AACGAACGCUGGCGGCAUGCCUAACACAUGCAAGUCGAACGAGACCUUCGGGUCUAGUGGCGCACGGGUGCGUAACGCGUGGGAACCUGCCCUUAGGUUCGGAAUAACUCCCCGAAAGGGGUGCUAAUACCGGAUAAUGUCUUCGGACCAAAGAUUUAUCGCCUUUGGAUGGGCCCGCGUUGGAUUAGCUAGUUGGUAGGGUAAAAGCCUACCAAGGCGACGAUCCAUAGCUGGUCUGAGAGGAUGAUCAGCCACACUGGGACUGAGACACGGCCCAGACUGCUACGGGAGGCAGCAGUGGGGAAUAUUGGACAAUGGGCGAAAGCCUGAUCCAGCCAUGCCGCGUGAGUGAUGAAGGCCUUAGGGUUGUAAAGCUCUUUUACCCGGGAUGAUAAUGACAGUACCGGGAGAAUAAGCUCCGGCUAACUCCGUG
rnacentral:rRNA from 1 species